CUUACACAUGCAGUCGAGGGGCAGCAUGGUCUUAGCUUGCUAAGGCCGAUGGCGACCGGCGCACGGGAGAGUAACACGUAUCCAACCUGCCGUCUACUCUUGGACAGCCUUCUGAAAGGAAGAUUAAUACAAGAUGGCAUCAUGAGUCCGCAUGUUCACAUGAUUAAAGGUAUUCCGGUAGACGAUGGGGAUGCGUUCCAUUAGGUAGUAGGCGGGGUAACGGCCCACCUAGUCUUCGAUGGAUAGGGGUUCUGAGAGGAAGGUCCCCCACAUUGGAACUGAGACACGGUCCAAACUCCUACGGGAGGCAGCAGUGAGGAAUAUUGGUCAAUGGGCGAGAGCCUGAACCAGCCAAGUAGCGUGAAGGAUGACUGCCCUAUGGGUUGUAAACUUCUUUUAUAAAGGAAUAAAGUCGGGUAUGCAUACCCGUUUGCAUGUACCUUAUGAAUAAGGAUCGGCUAACUCCGUGCCAGCAGCCGCGGUAAUACGGAGGAUCCGAGCGUUAUCCGGAUUUAUUGGGUUUAAAGGGAGCGUAGAUGGAUGUUUAAGUCAGUUGUGAAAGUUUGCGGCUCAACCGUAAAAUUGCAGUUGAUACUGGAUAUCUUGAGUGCAGUUGAGGCAGGCGGAAUUCGUGGUGUAGCGGUGAAAUGCUUAGAUAUCACGAAGAACUCCGAUUGCGAAGGCAGCCUGCUAAGCUGCAACUGACAUUGAGGCUCGAAAGUGUGGGUAUCAAACAGGAUUAGAUACCCUGGUAGUCCACACGGUAAACGAUGAAUACUCGCUGUUUGCGAUAUACAGCAAGCGGCCAAGCGAAAGCGUUAAGUAUUCCACCUGGGGAGUACGCCGGCAACGGUGAAACUCAAAGGAAUUGACGGGGGCCCGCACAAGCGGAGGAACAUGUGGUUUAAUUCGAUGAUACGCGAGGAACCUUACCCGGGCUUAAAUUGCAGAUGAAUUACGGUGAAAGCCGUAAGCCGCAAGGCAUCUGUGAAGGUGCUGCAUGGUUGUCGUCAGCUCGUGCCGUGAGGUGUCGGCUUAAGUGCCAUAACGAGCGCAACCCUUGUUGUCAGUUACUAACAGGUUCCGCUGAGGACUCUGACAAGACUGCCAUCGUAAGAUGUGAGGAAGGUGGGGAUGACGUCAAAUCAGCACGGCCCUUACGUCCGGGGCUACACACGUGUUACAAUGGGGGGUACAGAGGGCCGCUACCACGCGAGUGGAUGCCAAUCCCCAAAACCUCUCUCAGUUCGGACUGGAGUCUGCAACCCGACUCCACGAAGCUGGAUUCGCUAGUAAUCGCGCAUCAGCCACGGCGCGGUGAAUACGUUCCCGGGCCUUGUACACACCGCCCGUCAAGCCAUGGGAGCCGGGGGUACCUGAAGUGCGUAACCGCGAGGAG
rnacentral:rRNA from 1 species